ACUGCCCGAUGGAGGGGGAUAACUACUGGAACGGUAGCUAAUACCGCAUAACGUCGCAAGACCAAAGAGGGGGACCUUCGGGCCUCUUGCCAUCGGAUGUGCCCAGAUGGGAUUAGCUAGUAGGUGGGGUAACGGCUCACCUAGGCGACGAUCCCUAGCUGGUCUGAGAGGAUGACCAGCCACACUGGAACUGAGACACGGUCCAG
rnacentral:rRNA from 1 species